AACAUCGCCUCCUGCUGAUUUUAAGGAUAGGAGGUCCCGCCUGCCCUGUGACCGAAGGUUUAACGGCCGCGGUAUUUUAACCGUGCAAAGGUAGCGCAAUCAAUUGUCUUUUAAAUGGAGACCUGUAUGAAUGGCAUCACGAGGGUUUGACUGUCUCUUUUUCCAGGUCAAUGAAACUGAUCUGCCCGUGCAGAAGCGGGCAUGACUGCACAAGACGAGAAGACCCUAUGGAGCUUUAGACGCCCACCAACCAUGAAAAGCAACCCAGCCACCGGGUCUCCAAACAGCAUGGCCCUGGCACAAACGUCUUCGGUUGGGGCGACCACGGGGGACAGAGAAGCCCCCAGGAGGAUUGGAGGCCUACUCCAGAACCGAGAGCCAUAGCUCUAAGUCACAAAACUUUUGACCUGAAAUGAUCCGGCUUAAUGCCGACCAACGGACCAAGUUACCCUAGGGAUAACAGCGCAAUCCCUU
rnacentral:rRNA from 1 species